UACAGAGGUCUCAAGCGUUGUUCGGAUUCAUUGGGCGUAAAGGGUGCGUAGGUGGCGCCGUAAGUCAGGUGUGAAAUUUCGGAGCUUAACUCCGAAACUGCAUUUGAUACUGCGGUGCUUGAGGACUGGAGAGGAGACUGGAAUUUACGGUGUAGCAGUGAAAUGCGUAGAGAUCGUAAGGAACACCCGUGGCGAAGGCGGCUCUCUGGGACGGUACUGACGCUGAGACGCGAAAGCGUGGGGAGCGAACAGG
rnacentral:rRNA from 1 species